rnacentral:rRNA from 1 species
AGAGUUUGAUCCUGGCUCAGGAUGAACGCUAGCGGCAGGCUUAACACAUGCAAGUCGAGGGGCAGCGGGGAGGAAGCUUGCUUUCUCCGCCGGCGACCGGCGCACGGGUGAGUAACACGUAUGCAACCUGCCCCUGUCAGGGGGACAACCCGCCGAAAGGCGGGCUAAACCCGCGUACAUGCCACCGGGGCAUCCCGGAGGCAGGAAAGGCUUCGGCCGGACAGGGAUGGGCAUGCGGCGCAUUAGGCAGUAGGCGGGGUAACGGCCCACCUAACCGACGAUGCGUAGGGGUUCUGAGAGGAAGGUCCCCCACACUGGUACUGAGACACGGACCAGACUCCUACGGGAGGCAGCAGUGAGGAAUAUUGGUCAAUGGUCGGGAGACUGAACCAGCCAAGCCGCGUGAGGGAGGAAGGUACAGAGUAUCGUAAACCUCUUUUGUCAGGGAACAAAGGCGGGGACGUGUCCCCGGAUGAGUGUACCUGAAGAAAAAGCAUCGGCUAACUCCGUGCCAGCAGCCGCGGU